rnacentral:rRNA from 1 species
GUGUCAGCAGCCGCGGUAAUACAGAGGUCCCAAGCGUUGUUCGGAUUCACUGGGCGUAAAGGGUGCGUAGGUGGCCAGGUAAGUUCGGUGUGAAAGCUCGGAGCUUAACUCCGAAAUGGCAUUGAAUACUAUCUGGCUAGAGGGUCGGAGGGGAGACUGGAAUUCUCGGUGUAGCAGUGAAAUGCGUAGAUAUCGAGAGGAACACCAGUGGCGAAGGCGAGUCUCUGGACGACUCCUGACACUGAGGCACGAAAGCCAGGGGAGCAAACAGGAUUAGAUACCCCUGUAGUCC